UGGCUCAGUUGGUAGAGCACAGUUCUUGCAAGACCAGGAUUGUGGGUUCGAUUCCCAC
rnacentral:tRNA from 1 species